UACGUAGGCAGCGAGCGUUGUUCGGAGUUACUGGGCGUAAAGAGCGCGUAGGCGGUUUUCUAAGUUUGGUGUGAAAUCUCCCGGCUUAGCUGGGAGGGUGCGCCGAAAACUGGAAGGCUUGAGUAUGGGAGAGGUAAGCGGAAUUCCUGGUGUAGCGGUGAAAUGCGUAGAUAUCAGGAGGAACACCUGCGGUGUAGACGGCUUACUGGACCAUAACUGACGCUGAGGCACGAAAGCGUGGGUAGCAAACAGG
rnacentral:rRNA from 1 species